GAUAGAUAGAUAGAUAGAUAGAUAGAUAGAUAGAUAGAUAGAUAGAUAGAUAGAUAGAUAGAUAAAAUUAUGUUUAAUUCCAAGUAGUAAAUUAUACAAGACACUUUCAAACUAUUGCAUGCUAUCUUGUAUAUAAAACAGUUAUAGUCAUAUCAGUGUAUAAAUUCUAUGUAUCUGUAUACUGCUGUGUACAGUGUUCAGCUGUGCUGCAAAAACUAUGAGCUGCAAAGUUCCAGCCAAUGAACACACAAUCACAUACAGAUACACGUACACAGGAAAACAUAACACGUGUUUUCUGUUUAAGGUAUGAUACUUUAUAAUGAACUAGUUAAAGGUUUACUGUGCCACCCCUCAUGAAUUUGUUGCUCAUUUCCACCUUGGAAAAAUUACCGUGUCAGCUUGCUCAAUUUAGAGAUAUAUUCUGUGCAAAGGUUCUAGUAUAUAGUAGGUGCUGACUCCCGAAACAGGCACCUGAGGGUUUGGCCUGCCUUCUUAAAGCACACAGAAAAUAAUUCUCUUUAAUGGCAACAAUAUUGCAAAGAGGAAGGAGGCCACUAUAACAUUGCACACUUGCUGGUGCUGAAAAAGGGCUGUCGACCACUCUCGAGAGCCAGGGAGCGUAAUUUUGCUUGUGUUGUUAGAGCGAGUGCAACACCAUCUAAGGUAUCUUGAAGCAACAUUGUCUUGUAAGAAGUACUGCAGUUACUGCACAGAAUACUUGCAAGCAUAAUUCACUACUUCUGGGUGCUCUAAAAGUGUUUUUUCUGGUUGAUGGGUGAAAAUGACCACUUGAUGUUUGGUUAAAAUCAAAAGACUUCUGGCAACACCUGUUGUACAUGGCACAGACUGUGCAGGAUGCUUGUUUUAGUCCUUAACUGCAGCCUCUGAACUGAAAGUUUUUGGCUCCUGGUUAAUGAAUUUCACACACAAAAAUAUAAACUAAACGUGCAUUUCCUUGCUGGAGAAAUGUGAAAACUGGUAGGAGGUUCAUUCAGACAACUAAUGAGGUUUGCAUUUGUUAUCAAAGCAUUCCCAUGUGGCUUUUAACAUUUUUAUUUAAAAGCGUUUACCUUCAUAUUGUUUUCUGCAGGUUCUCUGAGGUCCAACUCCUGCUGAAAUAUGUUAUUUCAUCAUAGCCAUCAACAUGUCAGCUUCUGUUGACAUGUACUUUUUUUAAGAAGUAGUGACACAUAUUUUCAAAGUUGAAGUAACUCGGCCACCCGCUUCUUGCAAGGAGUGAAAUUUGCUGACUUCAUGUAGCAGCAAGGCCAGGUGUGAUGAUGUUAUUCAUAAAAAAAAUUAGCAGAGCACUGCAUGUUUUCUUUUUUCUGUCUGCAUUUCUGCGUGGCAGCCACAGCCACUACAAGAGAUGGGCAAAUUAUUGUGCAUCAUGAUGUCGUGAUGCAGCCACAUUUCUGGAUAUAGUGAAACUGAACCUAGUUUGUGAAGGCAAGUGUUAUAAUCAAUUUUUUGCGAUUCUCUGGCACUUGCCAGUGUAUUGGCACAUGAGUUAACAGCAUAAUUUGUAUCAUGCAGUAUUGUCGUUGGCCUGCUUGUGAUCUUUGCCGCUCACUGCAGAAGAUGGGGGCGACAAAGUGAAUCGAGUGUCGACAAAGACAAGGACGUGUUGUCGGUGAAACCCUGAAACUCUGCGAUUCCUGUAGAUUAACUUUAGUAAUUGUUGCCAUAGUUAAACGUGACAACAAGGUAUAGAGGGUUUGGGCCUUCAUAUAAUGCAAAAAAAAUAAUAAUAAUAAUAAUAAGCCAAGUAUAUUAUAUAUCAAUUUAUUAAUAUAAGUUAUUGUAGCUUAUCUACAAAUAUGGCUGAACUUUCUCUACCAUACAUCUUUUUAUAUAAUAAUAGUAUUCUAAUUACCUUGAAUAGUGUCGGUUUGGUACUUCUAGAAGCCAGGCACUUGACACAACAUUGCAUAAAAUGUAGGCAAUGGAGGCACCAUUUUUUGUGGUUAUAGGGUUUCUAAGAAACAUAGCAGUUCAGUGUAUGUCAUCCUGUGCUCAUCAAGUCAUGAUAAAUGCAUUUUUGCCUUCAGAUCUAUCAUGUCCCAGCCCUCUGCUUACAUCAAGAGGGUAUUCUGUAAGUGUCCACCUAGUGGACAUGUCCGCUACAUGCCAGAGUGCUCAUCGGCUGGGGGCGCCUGUCUCCUUCCGAUGCAUAUUCCAGACGAGCUAGUCAGAACUUCAGCAGUGCGUAUCCACACUCUCAUAUGUAGUUGGCGGUUGCUUUUGGUUUACAGUUUAAGAAGUCGUAAACACUGUUAAUAGCUAGUAGAUCUUAAACGCUUCAUAACAUUCCGAGUCGAUUACCCAUUAUGCGCACAGUAUUCAAAGCAAGGGAAUGCAAUCAAUAUUCUUAUCUUUUUGCACUCCACAUAUGCUGUUGCUAAUGCCAAUAUAUAUAUAUAUAUAUAUAUAUAUAUAUAGUGCUGGCAGUUACUUGAUAAUGUUCAAGUGAAUGAAACAUUUAUAAUAGCUCUUAUAUAACCCAAUUAGCUUGGAGUAGCGGAGCAAACCCCGAAGUGUUUUAAAAUGUAGUUGCAUUCAAAUGAAUCUCAAUAAUAGGCUAGGCACCACGUCAGAGCAGUCAUGUGUUUUAUUGUGUCAUGUCUAAAGCAAGAAAAGGAAUGUUUGCUUCCAUCAAUUUUCCACUUUUUUUUUAAAUAUAGAACAAAGUCCUUGCAGUGUAAUAAUGCUGGAGACAUUUAUUCUCACAAUACUAGGUUGUUCGUUGUGUCGACAAGGUGUAUUAUUGCACAAUAGCAAACAAUUUUCGUGAUCCUCCCAUGAAGUUCCGCUUCUGGUGCCAUUAAACAUUUUUCUUUCGCUGAUUCUCUGUUGUCACCCAGUCAGUUCUGUCAAACUGGGUGUGAUAGGCAGCAAAAAAAUGGCGUUCUAGUUUUUUUCAACGUGCCUAAUGUGUUUUCUUUUUUCUUGCAGGUCUGUACGAUCCAGAAACAGAAUUGCGAAGAUCUUCAUUACAGAGCACAUAGUUGUUAGCACGCUAUUACAGAACCAGAUCAAAGAUAAAUGAUACUACACACGUUACAGGCCUGACAGAAAUUAUCUUUAUUUGAAAAGUUUGCUGAAGAGAAAUGUACAAACUUUCUUCAAGUUACCCUUUUUUUAGUUCGUCUCCUAGAGAGUUGUAUACCAGUCAAAAAACAAAGCAAAUGAAAACAUAUCUCUUUUAACCUUAUGAUCACAGUCAGUUUCUCAUUUCAUGAACUCAUUACAAAAAUUGCAACGCAAAUGUUCUAUGCAUAAAAUCAUGCUUUGUAAUGCGAGAUGUAGCUGCAGCACUGGUGACCUUGACUUUAUGUCAUGUUGGCCAUGCCAUAUGUUUCUGUAGGUAAUUAUGAAACCAUCAUUUAGACCAAAUAUUGCAUGGUGCUUAAUUUUAUGGCUGGUUGGCUCUUGCUGUAGUCGCAAAUAGAGAAUUAAAGAACUCAUAACCAUAGUAUUUGACAAAAAAAUAAGUUGGAUAUCUUGAUGAUGAACUGAAAAGGGAAGUGCUAAAGUUUAUUUUGACAUAAUUUCCCAUGUGUGUCAUACAGUCUCUGCCAAAUGUACCAGGGACAUACAAUGUCAGACUGGCGAAGUUGAAGAAAAUCACUGUGAAGCAAAGCAUAGAUAAAUGGGAAGGAAGCAGCUAAUUGAAGAGAAGCAAGAUUGGUUAUUUCUGUUUGCAUUGAUUGACAGUUGUGUGAUGUAAGUUACUUUAUUGAAAGUUACUUUAUCAUGUCUUGCACAUUGUGUAAAGCCUUUCUUAGAUUGAUGUGUUGUGGCUUUUUGUACCUUUUAGGUACAGGACUGCAGAUGAUGUACUUGUCUGUGCUGUUUCAAGUUCAAGAAGCGUUUGCUUGAACAAGAAACCACUGCUCAUCUUCGCAUUUGGCCUGCUGAUGUAGCAACAUUUGCAAGAUGCAAGGGGCUGAAACAACGAGUGGAUGCUUGGAGUACCAGGAAAAGAUGGAGAUUGAAAUUACUGUAUCUGGAGAACAGCUGUCACAUUUAGACUGCCCAGUGUUUGCUGCAGAGCGUGGAACUUUCACUGGUGAACUGCAAUGUGGAGCAAAUUGUCAUGCUAAUGAUAAUUGAGUGUUUCUGUCAGAGACCGUCGCCCUUCUAGAAGACGGUGUUUUAUGUACUUGUGGUGUUUAUGGGUGAAAUGGAGUAACUGAGCACAGGGGUGACCUAUUUCAUCGCCAGAAAGUGCUAGGUGAGAUGGAUGAGAAAUUCUGCAGCGACGCACUUAACAACAAAGUGUGGGCAUCUGACCUAUGCAUUGUCCAGUUCAGUUCCUUGCUGCUGGCUUACUCAUCGUCCCUCACGGUGCCAUUUAGUGCAGCAGAGCCAACUUAGUGAACGAGAACCAACUUUUACCACUGUGAUUUAAUCAAAAUCAGGUGUCUUGAAAAUAGCUGCUGGCAUGUAUUUUUGCUAGGGAAGUUUGCCUGUGGCUCAUAAUGUCAUUGUUCUUAUCAAAGUUGCCGACAUUGCAGCCUAGGUUUGAAAGGGAGGCCAGGCCACUGGGUAGCUUUGCACUGGUAGCCCAUUUGCCAGUCUACUCCAAGUCUCAGUGAAUGUGUUUGUGUAGUCGCUAAUUUAUUAUGCUCACUUUUCAGCAGCUGGCCUGUUGUGGGAAAACUGUAGAAAAGCUCAUGUCCCAACUGUGCAUUUAGUGAAGUUACAAGUGAUAAAAUUAAAAAAAAAACAAAAAAACAUAGGCUCUCUUCCACUGUUCUCGUUCACUGUGACAUUUAGAAAGCAAUCACUGGUGGUUUGGUUAAACAUUUCUGCCAACUUAGAUGAUUCAUUUUGAGAACUGUCGAACAUUGCCUAGCUCAGAUAUGUUGCGAUUAUCUCUGUGACAGUUACUGCCACACUCUAAAGAGUUUCUCUUCUUGACUCGAUUCAACAAAGCGGAUAUGGCGAUGCCACCCUCGAGUGGAGUGGCCACUGUGCUUUGACGAGACUCCACGAUGAUUGCCGAGUAAAAAUUUCAUAACUUGGCAUUCAAGGUCUAUUCGAAUGCACUUGAGUGUUUCCAAUUCGUCUCAUUGUAAGGUUCACCUAGGGGAAUCAUUUAAGUGCUAUGUCUUCGACAGUUGAGGAAAAGCGCUGUGUGUGUCACAUUCAUGUGGCGCAGUUAAAAAAUGAGGUUAAAGUUGAGGCUUGUUUGUGAAUAUUCGGGCUAACGUAUUACUUAGGCACUUGUCAGUCUGUUCCUUUAGCAAUGUGUUCAUUGUUUCAAUUUCUACUAGCCUCCGACAGUGUUUAGUAUUUCAAUUCUAAGGCCUCCAUUUACUUCGAUGAUGCCUGUAGCCAUGUAAUAUUGUGCAGGCUCAACCAGAAGCCAAUCUACUCUCUGCUGACCACUGCCGCUUUCUUGUUCAAAUGAUAGACAGCCCUGCAAAGCCAGCCGCAGCGUCCACUGCAGACCUGAUCAAGCGAGAGGGGAUCAGCUGCUCACUGUGUGGCACGGACCUGGUGACGGAAGACCAGUUGCGAGCACACCGUUGCAGUGAGAGGCCACUGCCCCGUGGACGGGGCCGCUAUGCAUGCCGCUACUGCCGCUUCGCCUGCAACGACCGGCUUGAACACAGUCUGCACCAGACACAGCACCUCAAGGACAGACCGUUCAGCUGUGGUGUGUGCGGCAAGGCGUUUGCACGCAACAGUGACCGCAACCGGCAUGUCAAGAUCCACACGGGGGUCCGGCCCUUCCAGUGCGACGUGUGCUCGCGCAAAUUCCGGCAGUCGUGGCACCUCCAGUAUCACCGCAGCACCCACACAGACUUCUGAUGCCGGCGACACAGAUUUCUGAUGUCACGAGUGAUGGCAUUUUGGCCAACAGAGAUCUGAGCUUCGUCGUGGGAUGUGUCUGCAACAGCCGAGCCUGCACAUCGUUCAGUGGUGUCUAGCAGCACAGCUGCGGCAACCAGUGACCAUCUGUCGUGCCUGCGUCCUAUGAGUCUCGUUGCUUCUUAAGAUCUCGCUUGCGACUCUUGCUUUGUCUGAGCCCCUGAAACGUCCAUUGUGUGCACCGAGGCUGUGCCCUUGCCAAGUGGGUGCUUGUGCGUCUCAUGAUACAGGGUCUUGCAUGUUGUGCACAUGGCCAAUAUGAAAUGUGGACCUUUUGUUGGAUGUUCCUUGCUUCUUUCUGUAUGGAAUGGAUGAGUAGCAUCAGUAGAUACGUUAGCUGUACUAACUAAAUAUUGCCACAAAUUUUGAAAGAUGCAUAGUGGUGGGCUGUACAUAAAUAGAACCAGCUUAAGUUGAUACCUGUGGCCUUUUCUAAAGUUGACUUUUUUUCAGCACUUUGUAUAAGAGUAAUGAAGCAACGUUUCAGUUAUUCACCAUGACAUCAUUUACUAAUUUGUAGGGGACGAUGAGAAACGUUCUUUAAAUCAAUUUAAACUAAACAACUUAUCAGGCCUAAUGAAAAAAUACUCAGUAGCAGCAUAUGGCUGAUUCCACUCAUGUAGCAUGUAGAGCCCUCCAUUAUAUUUAAAAACCUCUGCAACAUUUUAUUGGAACAGCUGCUGCGCAGUGCCUAACUGCUACUGCAGGGAUGCAUAGCUUUGUGACGUAACCAUCAACUCUGGCUUGCUAGAAGGGGAGCACGUUGGACUUGGAACAGAAUUCAUCCGUGUUUUAUCUUAGGCACCUGAAUUACCAGCUGGGAAACUAUGGCCUGCACUGUUGGACCAUUGGCACCGGAGUCUUGCACGCAUUGGUUGCUACACAUGCUCUGCUUUUUUGCAUGCGCAAACAUCAUACAAUUCUUCUUGUCAACAGUAACUCUCAGCAUAAGUCUGCCAAACAAAACUGCGAGCUUGUGUGUUUGUUACUGCUACGAUGAUACAAGACAGUUAUCCCUCGCAGGUAAUCAGGUCAAUGUGAAACUAAGUAUCAAGGAAGGCAGGCCACGUAUACCUACAAGAGGUUUCCGUGCCAAAAACUCAGCAUCUAAACUAAGGCUUUUUGUUACUUCUAAAUUAUGUGACGUUAAGUGUGCAGUGUUUUAAGAGUAAUGUUUGCCUGCACCCCAUGCAUGAAUUCAACAGACGAGCCGUGAAACCGUGUAGUGGCAAACUUGGUCAAAGUAGUUUUGUCCGACCUGUUCGUAACACUGUGAAGUCACUGAGUUGAAGUUAACUUACUGGCAAACUAUGGCAGCGUACUAAGUCAGCACACAUGGUACCAAAGAAUCAAAAUAUUUGCUGUAGGAGCUUGCCCUAUCACUGCCUUUUACAAGAAGCGUUAUCUCUCUAGCACAAUAUAAGAGACCAUGAAAAUGCAUUGUAACAUCCGACUCUGCAAACUUGAACUCUUCUGAACCUCUUCAGCGUGAGCAUAGAUUUGUUUUUCUUUAGGUGGGGAGUUGCGUCUUGUAGACAACUUCUUUAGAAAUCUUCAUUCUUCAAGUUAAGGCGCUGUAAACUUGUAGACAAAUGUAAUUUUAUAUGCCUAUUUCAAAUAUAUGGAAUCUAUAUUUGUUGAUAUCAUUUGUUCAUAAUGUGAUUGAAGUUUCAUUUACCUAAUAUAAUCUUCAAAAUUUGCAAGCGAUCAAUUAUUCAGAUUUGACUGGACAGGUUAUCAGUGGCUUCGGCACGAUUCAAGAAACACAGUAAGGCCAACCUUGUUGCUUUGGCUAACCUAGAACAAGAGUUGCAGGACUUGGAAGUUGACACUCGGAGUUCUGUUCUUCUUGGAAUUCUCUUUUGAAGCCUCACAACUCUUGCUGUCUUGCUUAAAGGUAAAAGAAAAUGUCAUAUAAUUUAAACCGAAUGAGGUAAACAAAAGUGGAGUUCAUAUUUGAAAUAAGGG